rnacentral:rRNA from 1 species
AGUCGAGCGAAGCAAUUUGACGGAAGUUUUCGGAUGGAAGGCAAAUCGACUGAGCGGCGGACGGGUGAGUAACGCGUGGGUAACCUGCCUCAUACAGGGGGAUAACAGUUAGAAAUGACUGCUAAUACCGCAUAAGCGCACAGCAUCGCAUGGUGCAGUGUGAAAAACUCCGGUGGUAUGAGAUGGACCCGCGUCUGAUUAGCUGGUUGGUGGGGUAACGGCCCACCAAGGCGACGAUCAGUAGCCGACCUGAGAGGGUGAUCGGCCACAUUGGGACUGAGACACGGCCCAAACUCCUACGGGAGGCAGCAGUGGGGAAUAUUGCACAAUGGGGGAAACCCUGAUGCAGCAACGCCGCGUGAGUGAAGAAGUAUUUCGGUAUGUAAAGCUCUAUCAGCAGGGAAGGAAAUGACGGUACCUGACUAAGAAGCCCCGGCUAACUACGUGCCAGCAGCCGCGGUAAUACGUAGGGGGCAAGCGUUAUCCGGAUUUACUGGGUGUAAAGGGAGCGUAGACGGCGCUGCAAGUCUGAAGUGAAAGCCCGGGGCUCAACCCCGGGACUGCUUUGGAAACUGUAAUGCUAGAGUGCUGGAGAGGUAAGUGGAAUUCCUAGUGUAGCGGUGAAAUGCGUAGAUAUUAGGAGGAACACCAGUGGCGAAGGCGGCUUACUGGACAGUAACUGACGUUGAGGCUCGAAAGCGUGGGGAGCAAACAGGAUUAGAUACCCUGGUAGUCCACGCGGUAAACGAUGAAUGCUAGGUGUUGGGGAGCAAAGCUCUUCGGUGCCGUCGCAAACGCA